rnacentral:rRNA from 1 species
UACGAAGGGGGCUAGCGUUGUUCGGAAUUACUGGGCGUAAAGCGCGUGUAGGCGGUUGUCCAAGUCGGGUGUGAAAGCCUUGAGCUCAACUCAAGAAAUGCACUCGAUACUGGGCGACUAGAGUGCCGGAGAGGAUAGUGGAAUUCCCAGUGUAGUGGUGAAAUACGUAGAGAUUGGGAAGAACACCGGUGGCGAAGGCGGCCUUCUGGACAGUGACGUGACGCUGAGACGCGAAAGCGUGGG